CCUACGGGAGGCUGCAGUGGGGAAUAUUGGACAAUGGGCGAAAGCCUGAUCCAGCCAUGCCGCGUGUGUGAAGAAGGCCUUCGGGUUGUAAAGCACUUUCAGUGGGGAAGAAAGCCUUGGGGCUAAUACCCUCGAGGAAGGACAUCACCCACAGAAGAAGCACCGGCUAACUCCGUGCCAGCAGCCGCGGUAAUACGGAGGGUGCGAGCGUUAAUCGGAAUUACUGGGCGUAAAGCGCGCGUAGGCGGUCUGAUAAGCCGGUUGUGAAAGCCCCGGGCUCAACCUGGGAACGGCAUCCGGAACUGUCAGGCUAGAGUGCAGGAGAGGAAGGUAGAAUUCCCGGUGUAGCGGUGAAAUGCGUAGAGAUUGGGAGGAAUACCAGUGGCGAAGGCGGCCUUCUGGACUGACACUGACGCUGAGGUGCGAAAGCGUGGGUAGCAAACAGGAUUAGAUACCCCGGUAGUC
rnacentral:rRNA from 1 species